UGCCCACUAGCUAGCUCAAACCACAAAAACAACCUCCCCAUUUUCAUACCCCUAAAUAUUACACAACCACAAAACAAAUCAUUUAUCCACUUUAGUAUAGGUGAUAGAAAUAGAAAAACUGAAGCAAUAGAGAAAGUACCGCAAGGGAAAGCUGAAAAAGAAAUGAAAAAACUCAGUAAAGCAAAAAAAAGCAGAGAUUUUCCCUCGUACCUUUUGCAUCAUGAUUUAGCCAGCCAUACUCAAGCAAAAAGAAUUGUAGUUUGAGCCCCCGAAUCUAAGUGAGCUACUCCAGGACAGUCUACCUAAAGGACCAACCCGUCUCUGUGGCAAGAGAGUGGGAAGAGCCUCGAGUAGAGGUGAUAAACCUACCGAACUUAGUGAUAGCUGGUUGUCUGAGAAAUGAAUAGAAGUUCAGCAUUUAAAAUUCUUAUAUCCAGCCCUUGUCAUAUAGGUUAAAGAAAUUUAAAUAGUUAGUUAAAAGAGGUACAGCUCUUUUAACAAAAGAAACAACUUUUUUCAGCUGGAUAAGGAUCAUAGUAUAAUAAGGCACAGUACACUAGUGGGCUUAAAAGCAGCCAUCUAUUUAAAAAGCGUUAAAGCUUAAGUACAGUUAAAAGCUUAUAAUCUCGAUACCCCUUCCCAAUCCCCUCCCCCUAUCAGACUUCCUUAUGCUUCCAUAAAGGUAAUUAUGCUAGAAUGAGUAAUAAGAGAAAUAAAUCUCUCCUGUCAUAAGUGUAAACCAGAACGGACACACCACUGGUAUUUACCGGCCCCAAAAAGAGGGUAGUGACCCAUAAAUAAAGAACUAGAAAACCAACCACCUCUCACCGUUAACCUCACACAAGAAUGACCUCAAGGAAAGACUAAAAGGGAGAGAAGGAACUCGGCAAACCCUAUUUAUAAGCCUCGCCUGUUUACCAAAAACAUCGCCUCCUGACUAUUAAACAUAGGAGGUCUCGCCUGCCCUGUGAUAGAUUAUUUAACGGCCGCGGUAUCCUAACCGUGCAAAGGUAGCGCAAUCACUUGUCUUUUAAAUGGAGACCUGUAUGAAUGGCAUAACGAGGGCUUAACUGUCUCCUCUCCCCAGUCAAUGAAAUUGAUCUCCCCGUGCAGAAGCGGGGAUAUAACUAUAAGACGAGAAGACCCUGUGGAGCUUUAGACAUAGAAGUAGCCCCUGUAAAGAAAGCCUUAACUAUAGGUAUAAACAAAAGGACUCUCUACCUUGCUGUCUUUGGUUGGGGCGACCGCGGGGUAAUAACCAACCCCCACGAGGAAUAAUAAAACCUUUUUGAAUUGAGAGUAACAACUCAAACUAGUAGAAUAUCUAACCUAAAAUGACCCGGCCUAGGCCGAUCAACGAAACCAGUUACCCCAGGGAUAACAGCGCUAUCCUUUCCCAGAGCCCAUAUCGACGAAAGGGUUUACGACCUCGAUGUUGGAUCAGGACAUCCUAAUGGUGCAGCCGCUAUUAAGGGUUCGUUUGUUCAACGAUUAAAGUCCUACGUGAUCUGAGUUCAGACCGGAGUAAUCCAGGUCAGCUUCUAUCUAUACUUUUUUCUUUUCCAGUACGAAAGGAUCGAAAAGAUAAGGCCAAUGCUUAUGUAAACCUUCCCCCUACCUAAUGAAGCCAACUAAAUUAGAUAAAGAAAACUACCAACCAACCCUAGAAAAAGGGA
rnacentral:rRNA from 1 species